AUGGGGUGCAGCAGGCGCGAAAACUUUACAAUGCGGGAAACCGUGAUAGGGGGACCUCGAGUGCCAGCAUAUUAUGUUGGCUGUCCAGAUGCCUAAAUAGCAUUUGAUAGCAAGGGCCGGGCAAGACCGGUGCCAGCCGCCGCGGUAACACCGGCGGCCCGAGUGGUAACCGUUAUUAUUGGGUCUAAAGGGUCCGUAGCCGGCCAAGUAAGUCCCUUGGGAAAUCUGGCAGCUUAACUGUCAGGCUGCCAGGGGAUACUGCUUGGCUUGGGACCGGGAGAGGUGAGAGGUACCUCAGGGGUAGGGGUGAAAUCUUGUAAUCCUUGAGGGACCACCAGUGGCGAAGGCGUCUCACCAGAACGGGUCCGACGGCAAGGGACGAAAGCUAGGGGCACGAACCGGAUUAGAUACCCGGGUAGUCCUAGCCGUAAACGAUACUCGCUAGGUGUCAGCCACGGUGCGACUGUGGUUGGUGCCGUAGGGAAGCCGUGAAGCGAGCCACCUGGGAAGUACGGCCGCAAGGCUGAAACUUAAAGGAAUUGGCGGGGGAGCAC
rnacentral:rRNA from 1 species